rnacentral:rRNA from 1 species
CACAUGCAAGUCGAGGGGCAGCAUGGUCUUAGCUUGCUAAGGCCGAUGGCGACCGGCGCACGGGUGAGUAACACGUAUCCAACCUGCCGUCUACUCUUGGACAGCCUUCUGAAAGGAAGAUUAAUACAAGAUGGCAUCAUGAGUCCACAUGUUCACAUGAUUAAAGGUAUUCCGGUAGACGAUGGGGAUGCGUUCCAUUAGAUAGUAGGCGGGGUAACGGCCCACCUAGUCUUCGAUGGAUAGGGGUUCUGAGAGGAAGGUCCCCCACAUUGGAACUGAGACACGGUCCAAACUCCUACGGGAGGCAGCAGUGAGGAAUAUUGGUCAAUGGGCGAGAGCCUGAACCAGCCAAGUAGCGUGAAGGAUGACUGCCCUAUGGGUUGUAAACUUCUUUUAUAAAGGAAUAAAGUCGGGUAUGUAUACCCGUUUGCAUGUACUUUAUGAAUAAGGAUCGGCUAACUCCGUGCCAGCAGCCGCGGUAAUACGGAGGAUCCGAGCGUUAUCCGGAUUUAUUGGGUUUAAAGGGAGCGUAGAUGGAUGUUUAAGUCAGUUGUGAAAGUUUGCGGCUCAACCGUAAAAUUGCAGUUGAUACUGGAUAUCUUGAGUGCAGUUGAGGCAGGCGGAAUUCGUGGUGUAGCGGUGAAAUGCUUAGAUAUCACGAAGAACUCCGAUUGCGAAGGCAG